rnacentral:rRNA from 1 species
GUCUUAUAGAUUAUAAUUUUAAGUCCAAUCUGCCCAAUGAAUAAAUUUAAUGGCUGCAGUAUUAAUGACUGUGCAAAGGUAGCAUAAUAAAUUGUUUUUUAAUUAAAAACUAGAAUAAAAGAUUAAAUGAAAUAUAAACUGUUUCAAUUAAAAUAAAAAUUAAAUUUAUUAUUUAAGUAAAAAAACUUAAAUUUAAUUAAAAGACGACAAGACCCUAUAGAAUUUAAUUUAUUGAAUUAAUUAAAAUUAUAAAUUAAAUUAAUUAAUUAAUUCAAUAAAUUUAAUUGGGGCAAUUAAAAAAUUCAAAAAACUUUUUUAAAAUAAAACAUAAAUUAAUGAAAUUUUAUACCUUAAAAUUUAAAUUUAUAAAAUUAAUUACCUUA